ensembl:lncRNA
CCCGGCGGCGCGCUGCCCGCUGCUGACACCGUGUGGAGCCGCGCCGGGGCUGCAGCGCGCCCCGUCCUUCCGCGGGUCCCGCUGGCAGCGCUGCCGAAAGCCCCCGGUCCCGCUUCACGGAUGGUUACAGGAAGAGCUCGGCAGCGGUUUCCUACCGUCGAGCGUUACAGAAUUGCAUGGGUUGGAGGAGACCUCUGGAGAUGAUCAAGUCCAAACCCCUGCUAAAGCAGGUACCCUACAGCAGAUCACACAGGAGCCUGACCCCAUGGACUUGACUCCCACACUUCAGAUAUUUAUGAACAGCGAUGGGAUUUCUUCUCAGCCUUCUCUUCUCCAUGCUGAACAGCCUUCUCUCAUAAAGGAGAUGCUCCAGGACCCUCAUCAUCUCUGUGGCCUUCCGCUGGACUCUCUCUAGAAGUUCCCUGUCUUUUUUGAACCGAGGAGCUCAGAACUGGACAUAGUACUCUGGAUGUGGCCUCACCAGAGCAGAAUUGAGGGGGAAGAUCACCUCCCUUGACCUGCUGGCCACACUCUUUUCAAUGCACUCCAGGAUACCAUUGCCCUGCUUGGCCACCCAGGCGCACUGCUGGCUCAUGGCCAACCUGUUAUCCACCAGGACCAUUAAGUUCUCCUCAGAGCUCCUCUCCAGCAGGUCAGCCCCUAACCUGUACUGGUGCACAUGGUUAUUCCUCCCCAGGUGCAGGGCACUACACUUGCACUUGUUGAACCUCAGCAGUCUGAUCAGGUUUUGUUGAAGGGCAGCACAGCCCUCUGGUGUGUCAGCCAUUCCUCCCACCUUUGUAUAAUCAGCAAACUUGCUGAGGGUGGAAUCCCCUCAUCUAGAGUGGUCCCUACUGAUCAUUCUGACGUGGUGCUAAAGUGGCCAGAGUGGACCAGUACAUCAGAUCCACAAAGUGUGGAUUUAUUCAGAAGUCUAAAGAUCUCUCAAUACCCUCUUCCCCUUGCUCAUUACCACUGGCUUGUGCAAUGCUGAACUGGUGCCAGUCAUGUGGUUGCAGCUAAGUGGUUGUGUCCUCCUCCACUCAUACAGCAGGGAUGCAUCUGCUCUAGAAACAGGGAAGACUACAUAAAAAUACAUUUCGGCUAAUUUUGUUCUGAAGUACUCUAGGACACUGCAGUAGUAGAACUUAUUUUAGAUGAAAAUUGCACAUCUGCAAAGAUUUCUGCAUCAUCCCGAUAGUGUUCUGGCAUCUCCAUUUCAGCAAUUCCCUCAGUGCAAAGUGGAUUUUGUGAAAAGAAAAUACACAUGAGUGGAUUGCCACCUGCAGCUUAGUUUUCUAUGAAUCUGAAACAGUGACUCAGUACUCAAAGAUAUUGUUAGAUAAUAAUAUACCACUUAUAUGUGUGUAUAUAUAUAUAUAUAUGUGGAUGCCUUUAUGCUGUUGAUGUUUUUUUUCAUGGUCUCUCUAGGUUAGUAUUUCCUUAUCAGUUUUAAGUUCUGCAUCUCUACUUCAAAUAAGAUGAGAUGGAGUCCUUGAUUUCAGUUGCUAUAUGCUUCUCUUCAUCCUUCCCAACUAAACAUGGAGCUUUGUUGGAUACCAGCCCUCUUCUGGAAUCUUGCCAAAAGCAGGUGCUUCCUACAACACGUGAUGGCCUGUUUGAAAUAACAAAUUCUGUUAGGCAACAAUGGAGAAGAAAGAAAAACCAGAUACUGGGUGGGCAUUUUGGAUCACAGUAAUAUAAGGAAGCCUAAAGUUGUGUCUCUCGCCUAACUCCUCGGUGUCUCCAUAUCCAGAAAGGUGGAUGGAUCUCUCUUUGCAGUGACCAAGAAGGCAGAGUUCAUGGUGCACUUGGCAGACCUUGCUGGGUUGUUCACAGGAACCCUGUUUGCAAACUAUCACCUCGUUGAGCUAAAACCCAAAACUUUCUUGAGGCUGAAAAGGGAAUUUACUUCUGAGUGUUUCCUGUUUUUUGAGGCUAUUUCAUACCACAGUGGUGUUCUGGAUAAAACAGGGUUUCUUUCAUAUCAGUAUACAGUACUGGAAACGAAUAAAUUAUUGAAGGUAGGAAGAUGGGAGUGAAUUAGAAGUGGACCGAGUGAAGAUCAGGUGGUACCUGAAGAAUUUCACCUGGGAAAGUGCCACUGAGAGGAAUUAGCACUGAGGUUGUCAUGUGUUGGGCUGAAAUCCACGAAGCAUUUGUUUCUGCUGCCUUACUCAGAAAGGUGCAGAAGAGAUGUUGGGAGGCACCUGGCCACUUAAUUUUGGGGAGAGCAAAGGGGAUGGUGAACAAUUCCCAACAUUGUUUAAAAUGAGGAAGAGAGUGGUGAGUGGAACCUCUUUUUUACUUUAAUAAAGGCAAUGUAAUCUGAAUGUCAUCUCUUCAUUAUGUGGUGACUGUGACUGACACAUGAUUUAAAUUGGUACUUGUAAGGCAAAUGGAAAAAA